rnacentral:tmRNA from 1 species
GGGGCUGAUUCUGGAUUCGACGGGAUUCGCGAAACCCAAGGUGCAUGCCGAGGGGCGGUUGGCCUCGUAAAAAGCCGCAAAAAAAUAGUCGCAAACGACGAAAAAUACGAACUAGCAGCUUAAUAACCUGCGUAGCUCCCUCUCUCCCUAGCCUCCGCUCUUAGGACGGGGAUCAAGAGAGGUCAAACCCAAAAGAGAUCGCGUGGAUGCCUUGCCUGGGGUUGAAGCGUUAAAUCUAAUCAGGCUAGUUUGUUAGUGGCGUGUCUGUCCGCAGCUGGCAAGUGAAUGUAAAGAUUAGACUAAGCAUGUAGUACCGAGGAUGUAGGAAUUUCGGACGCGGGUUCAACUCCCGCCAGCUCCACCA